rnacentral:rRNA from 1 species
AGAAUCAACGCUGGCGGCGUGCCUAACACAUGCAAGUCGAUCGAGAAAGUGGAGCAAUCCAUGAGUAAAGAGGCGCACGGGUGAGUAACACGUGACUAACCUACCCUCGAGUGGGGAAUAACCUGGGGAAACCCGGGCUAAUACCGCAUAAUACCCACGGGUCAAAGGAGCAAUUCGCUUGAGGAGGGGGUCGCGGCAGAUUAGUUAGUUGGCGGGGUAAUGGCCCACCAAGACGAUGAUCUGUAUCCGGCCUGAGAGGGCGCACGGACACACUGGAACUGAAACACGGUCCAGACUCCUACGGGAGGCAGCAGUGGGAAUUUGCGCAAUGGGGGAAACCCUGACGCAGCAACGCCGCGUGGAGGAUGAAGUCCCUUGGGACGUAAACUCCUUUCGACCGGGACGAUAAUGACGGUACCGGAUGAAGAAGCCCGGCUAACUUCGCGCCAGCAGCCGC